GAUGAACGCUGGCGGCGUGCCUAAUACAUGCAAGUCGAACGCUGGAAAUCUAGCUUGCUGGAUUGAAGGAGUGGCGAACGGGUGAGUAAUACAUAAGCAACCUACCCACGAAGACUGGGAUAAUCUCUGGAAACGGGGACUAAUACCGGAUAGGUAAUCGGAAGGCAUCUUCUGAUUAUUAAAGGUUAAAACCACUGGUGGAUGGGCUUAUGGCGCAUUAGUUAGUUGGUGAGGUACCGGCCCACCAAGACGAUGAUGCGUAGCCGGCCUGGGAGGGUGAAUGGCCACAUGGGGACUGAGACACGGCCCAGACUCCUACGGGAGGCAGCAGUAGGGAAUUUUCGGCAAUGGGGGAAACCCUGACCGAGCAACGCCGCGUGAGUGAUGACGGCCUUCGGGUUGUAAAGCUCUGUUGUAAGGGAAGAACGGUAGAUAGAGAAUAUCUAAAUGACGGUACCUUACCAGAAAGCAACGGCUAACUACGUG
rnacentral:rRNA from 1 species